rnacentral:rRNA from 1 species
GAUGAACGCUGGCGGCGUGCCUAAUACAUGCAAGUCGAGCGAACGGACGAGAAGCUUGCUUCUCUGAUGUUAGCGGCGGACGAGUGAGUAACACGUUGAUAACCGACCUAUAAGACUGGGAUAACUUCGGGAAACCUGAGCUAAUACCGGCUAAUCUUUUGAACCGCAUGGUUCAAAAGUGUACGACGGUCUUGCUGUCCCUUAUAGAUGGAUCCGCGCUGCAUGAGCUAGUUGGUAAGGUAACGGCUUACCAAGGCAACGAUGCAUAGCCGACCUGAGCGGGUGAUCGGCCACACUGGAACUGAGACACGGUCCCGACUCCUACGGGAGGCAGCAGUAGGGAAUCUUCCGCAAUGGGCGAGAGCCUGACGGAGCAACGCCGCGUGAGUGAUGAAGGUCUUCGGAUCGUAAAACUCUGUUAUUAGGGAAGAACAUAUGUGUAAGUAACUGUGCACAUCGUGACGGUACCUAAUCAGAAAGCCACGGCUAACUACGUG